GGCCUACACAUGCAAGUCGAGCGGCAGCGGGAAGUAGCUUGCUACUUUGCCGGCGAGCGGCGGACGGGUGAGUAAUGUCUGGGAAACUGCCUGAUGGAGGGGAUAACUACUGGAAACGGUAGCUAAUACCGCGUGACGUCGCAAGACCAAAGUGGGGGACCUUCGGGCCUCACGCCAUCGGAUGUGCCCAGAUGGGAUUAGCUAGUAGGUGAGGUAAUGGCUCACCUAGGCGACGAUCCCUAGCUGGUCUGAGAGGAUGACCAGCCACACCGGAACUGAGACACGGUCCAGACUCCUACGGGAGGCAGCAGUGGGGAAUAUUGCACAAUGGGCGCAAGCCUGAUGCAGCCAUGCCGCGUGUGUGAAGAAGGCCUUAGGGUUGUAAAGCACUUUCAGCGAGGGGGAAGGCGUUGUAGUUAAUAGCUGCAACGAUUGACGUUACUCGCAGAAGAAGCACCGGCUAACUCCGUGCCAGCAGCCGCGGUAAUACGGAGGGUGCAAGCGUUAAUCGGAAUUACUGGGCGUAAAGCGCACGCAGGCGGUUUGUUAAGUCAGAUGUGAAAUCCCCGAGCUUAACUUGGGAACUGCAUUUGAAACUGGCAAGCUAGAGUCUUGUAGAGGGGGGUAGAAUUCCAGGUGUAGCGGUGAAAUGCGUAGAGAUCUGGAGGAAUACCGGUGGCGAAGGCGGCCCCCUGGACAAAGACUGACGCUCAGGUGCGAANCGUGGGGAGCAAACAGGAU
rnacentral:rRNA from 1 species